UACGUAGGGGCAAGCGUUGUCCGGAAUCAUUGGGCGUAAAGAGCGUGUAGGCGGCUCGGUAAGUCCGCUCUGAAAGCCCGGGGCUCAACCCCGGGAGGCGGGCGGAUACUGUCGGGCUAGAGUCCGGAAGAGGCGAGUGGAAUUCCUGGUGUAGCGGUGAAAUGCGCAGAUAUCAGGAGGAACACCAAUGGCGAAGGCAGCUCGCUGGGACGGUACUGACGCUGAGACGCGAAAGCUAGGGGAGCAAACGGG
rnacentral:rRNA from 1 species